rnacentral:tRNA from 1 species
GAUGUGGUAGUAUAAUAAAAUACAUUUUGCUUACACCAAAAAAUUCAUUUUGUAAUGUCACGUUU